CCUACGGGAGGCAGCAGUAGGGAAUAUUGCUCAAUGAGGGAAACCCUGAAGCAGCAACGCCGCGUGGAGGAUGAAGGUUUUCGGAUUGUAAACUCCUUUUGUUAGAGAAGAUAAUUACGGUAUCUAACGAAUAAGCACCGGCUAACUCCGUGCCAGCAGCCGCGGUAAUACGGCGGGUGCAAGCGUUACUCGGAAUCACUGGGCGUAAAGAGAGCGUAGGCGGGAUAGCAAGUCAGAUGUGAAGUCCUAUGGCUUAACCAUAGAACUGCAUUUGAAACUGUUAUUCUAGAGUAUGGGAGAGGUAGGUGGAAUUCUUGGUGUAGGGGUAAAAUCCGUAGAGAUCAAGAGGAAUACUCAUUGCGAAGGCGACCUGCUAGAACAUAACUGACGCUGAUGCGCGAAAGUGUGGGGAGCAAACAGGAUUAGAUACCCCUGUAGUC
rnacentral:rRNA from 1 species